rnacentral:rRNA from 2 species
UGGGCGUAAGCGCGCGCAGGCGGUUUCUUAAGUCUGAUGUGAAAGCCCACGGCUCAACCGUGGAGGGUCAUUGGAAACUGGGGAACUUGAGUGCAGAAGAGAAAAGCGGAAUUCCACGUGUAGCGGUGAAAUGCGUAGAGAUGUGGAGGAACACCAGUGGCGAAGGCGGCUUUUUGGUCUGUAACUGACGCUGAGGCGCGAAAGCGUGGGGAGCAAACAGGAUUAGAUACCCUGGUAGUCCACGCCGUAAACGAUGAGUGCUAAGUGUUAGAGGGUUUCCGCCCUUUAGUGCUGCAGCUAACGCAUUAAGCACUCCGCCUGGGGAGUACGGUCGCAAGACUGAAACUCAAAGGAAUUGACGGGGGCCCGCACAAGCGGUGGAGCAUGUGGUUUAAUUCGAAGUAACCCGAAGAACCUUACCAGGUCUUGACGUCCGCGGGGCGCUCUAGAGAUAGAGCGUUCCCCUUCGGGGGACAG